rnacentral:misc_RNA from 1 species
GAGAAUUUUGGAUUAGCUGCAAGGCUUUUCCUUAACACUUUAUUCCAUAAACACCUGUGCACCUUUUUCAGAUGUUGUUUGUUACUAGUCCAGCUUUGGUUAGACGAACACAACUUCAUCUCACACUACAAACAUAAAUAGUCUUUGAAUGUAAUAUAAAUUGUAACAAAAUA